rnacentral:rRNA from 1 species
UACGUAGGGGGCAAGCGUUAUCCGGAUUUACUGGGUGUAAAGGGAGCGUAGACGGCAGCGCAAGUCUGAUGUGAAACCCCGGGGCUCAACCCCGGGCAUGCAUUGGAAACUGGCGGGCUGGAGUGCCGGAGAGGUAAGCGGAAUUCCUAGUGUAGCGGUGAAAUGCGUAGAUAUUAGGAGGAACACCAGUGGCGAAGGCGGCUUACUGGACGGCAACUGACGCUGAGGCUCGAAAGCGUGGGGAGCAAACAGG